CCUACGUGAGUCAGCAGUGAGGAAUAUUGGUCAAUGGCCGCGAGGCUGAACCAGCCAAGUCGCGUGAGGGAAGACUGUCCUAUGGAUUGUAAACCUCUUUUGUCAGGGAGCAACAUCACCCAAGUGUGGGUGUUGGAGAGUACCCGAAGAAAAAGCAUCGGCUAACUCCGUGCCAGCAGCCGCGGUAAUACGGAGGAUGCGAGUGUUAUCCGGAUUUAUUGGGUUUAAAGGGUGCGUAGGCGGUUGAUCAAGUCAGUGGUAAUAUUGUGGAGCUCAACUGCAUCGAGCCGUUGAAACUGAUGAUCUUGAGUGGGCGAGAAGUAUGCGGAAUGCGUGGUGUAGCGGUGAAAUGCAUAGAUAUCACGAAGAACUCCGAGUGCGAAGGCAGCAUACCGGCGCUCAACUGACGCUGAUGCACGAAAGUGUGGGUAUCGAACAGGAUUAGAUACCCCGGUAGUC
rnacentral:rRNA from 1 species